UCCGAUGGGGUAACCUGCGGAGGGAUCAUUACCGAGUUUACAACUCCCAAACCCCUGUGAACAUACCACUUGUUGCCUCGGCGGAUCAGCCCGCUCCCGGUAAAACGGGACGGCCCGCCAGAGGACCCCUAAACUCUGUUUCUAUAUGUAACUUCUGAGUAAAACCAUAAAUAAAUCAAAACUUUCAACAACGGAUCUCUUGGUUCUGGCAUCGAUGAAGAACGCAGCAAAAUGCGAUAAGUAAUGUGAAUUGCAGAAUUCAGUGAAUCAUCGAAUCUUUGAACGCACAUUGCGCCCGCCAGUAUUCUGGCGGGCAUGCCUGUUCGAGCGUCAUUUCAACCCUCAAGCACAGCUUGGUGUUGGGACUCGCGUUAAUUCGCGUUCCUCAAAUUGAUUGGCGGUCACGUCGAGCUUCCAUAGCGUAGUAGUAAAACCCUCGUUACUGGUAAUCGUCGCGGCCACGCCGUUAAACCCCAACUUCUGAAUGUGACCUCGAUCAGGUAGAUCCCAUCGC
rnacentral:rRNA from 1 species